UACGGCGACCUCCGGGAAUCCCAUUUGCGGGUGCGGCGAGAGCGGCGAGAGGAUGCCGAAGAACCCCUCCAACUGAUCCCACGACCAGCUCGACGGCAUCGCGACGACGACGCCGGCGAUGUGUACGUCUCGGUCUUGACGGAUUUGGAUGAUUCUCCGAUCACCUCGACGUCCGGGUCGGCCGCCGCCGUCUCGUGCCGCUUCCGUUUGCCGUGGGUCGACGUCGUCGGCGGCGGGGGCGGCGGCGGCGGUGCCAGGAAGUCGGCGCCGCGGGAGCCGACCUCGUUGGGGAAGUUGAGGAUGGCCUUGGCGCCGCGCAUGCGGAAGGCGGCGCGGUCGUACGCGCGCGCCGCCUCGAUGGCCGUGUCGUACGUGCCGAGCCACACGCGCGAGCCCCGCUUCUUGGGGUCGCGGAUCUCCGCCGCGAACUUGCCCCACGGCCGCUGCCGCACGCCGCGGUACUUCCGGAAGUCGUUCGGGUCGGCGGCCGCGGCCGCGGCCUGCGCCUGCAGCAGAGCGGCCGGGUGCACCGCCUCCGCCGCCGCCCACGCGUGCGACGUCGGAGGCAGCGAGAUCGUCAGGGGCGGCCUCCGGGGGUCCGACACCGGGGACACCUCGCCGCCGAACCGUAUCAUCACCGGCUCCGCCGCCGCCGCCCGGUAG
rnacentral:lncRNA from 1 species